UGGUAAUUAGUUUCAAUUAAAACAAAUGAUUUCGACUCAUUAGAUUAUGAAAUUAUUCAUAAUUACCAA
rnacentral:tRNA from 1 species